GCUUACGGCCAUACCAACCUGGCUAUGCCCGAUCUCGUCUGAUCUCGGAAGCUAAGCAGGUUUGGGCCUGGUUAGUACUUGGAUGGGAGAACGCCUGGGAAUACCAGGUGCUGUAAGCU
rnacentral:rRNA from 1 species